UUGACUUGAAGAAAGAAAUGGAGCCAAAGGAGGAGUUGGGUUGAGUUUGGGUCUUGAGCAAGAAUAGGGACAAGAUCUUAAGAGAUUGUCUAUCAAGGCUUCAUGAAGGUUUAGAGAAGUCUAGAAGUGUCAUGAAGGCUGUGCAAAGAUAGGGUUUGAGUCCAGGAGGGACUUAGACACCAUUUGGAGACAGAUGGGUGAUGGUGCAAAGAUAGGGCGACCAGAUGAUCAGACGGUACGGACGGUACAAAACUGGACGGGCCGGGCAAUCUUAGGGCGACCCAAACCGAGUCAGGUCUAACCAUUGGAGAUGUUUGGGUGAGAUGUGCAAAAAUAGGGCGAGGUACGGACAGGCGGUACGUACCAUCAACCGUACUUCACCCAGGAUCGACCAGAAGUUGUGCAAACUUAGGGCGUCGGUUUAGAGAGCGAUUAGGCGACCUUGUCUGAUUGUAAUCAGACUGUUUGUGGAUAAGGAAGAGAGAGGACGUGGUCAACAAGGACAGGCUGUCAAGAGGUGUAAAAGGAAAGCAAAGGGGACCAUGUAUCUAGCUAAAGAAGUGGGAAGGUUCAUGGGAGCCUUUGAGGAACCAAUCAGAAGCCUGCCCUUGCCUUGACCAGUUUGAAUGGACCAAUCACCAGCCAGCCUUCCUUAACCAAUCAGAAGCCAUCACCAAGAUUGCAAAGACCAAAACAAGACUACAUCCAAGCCAUCCAUUUCACAAGUCAUUUCUAGCCAUUAGAUUAAGGGUUUCUAAUGUUUCAAAGUGUAAAGCUUAUAAAAGCAUGUGUAUGGACGAAAAUUAAAGCUCUUAAGAGAGUAUGGGGGAUUUCCCCAUCUCCUUCAUAUUAUAAAGUAUGUUCUUGAUCAGAUUCUCUUAAUCUCUCCCUUUCUUAGUCUCUAAUCUCUUAAUCUCUCAAAGUCUCUUUGUUUCUGAUCUAAGUUCAUACUAGUUCAUCAGAUUCUUUCUUCACCAUUUCAAGACUCUAUUCUGCCCUAAGAGGCUUGUUCUUCACACACACAUCCUAGACUCUUAAAUCUCAUAUGGUAUCAGAGCCAGGUUCAUUAGAACUUGGUUCAAGCUUCCGCUAAGCUCAAGGCUUCUCCCAUGUCAUUUCCAAACCAAGAAGAAGCUUCAUGUUCAGCCUGCUGUAAAACCUCUCCAAGAAGAAGGUGGGCUCAUACAUGGCGUCCAGUAGCUGUCUCUGGUUGUUCUCCACGUUCUCAUGUCCACCCUUGAAGAAAGAAGGCCUUGGAAGCAAAGGUUAUGAAGUGGUCUAGCUAGCCUCUUCAACAAACCAGAUCCAGGCGAGUCUCAUGGUGAUUCUCAUGAAGAAAGGUGGUCUCUUUGACAUGGUGGGUUCAAGAGGAAGGUCCAUGGAAGCAGGAGAUGUUGGGGUCGACACCAACAGCUCAGAUCUUGCCAUGUACUAAGGAGUUUCAAGGAACUAACACUAGUUCCUUGGCUGUAAGGAAAUCUCUUUCUCUUGUAUAAAGCUUGAGUAUUUGAACUGAAAAUUAUAUUAAACUGAUUGUGAUGUGGUGUUGUGAUUGAAAACUUGAGGAUAUAUUAAAGAUUGCUAAAUAAAAUGAAAUGAAUUUAGAAUCUGUCCCAUAAUGCUUAAAAAGUCUUGUUUGGUGGUUGAAAAGUUUAAAAAUGCUUAACCCUGAUUCUAGUGAGGCUUGUUAGGGAGUUAGAAGUUGUCUAAACCUGAUUGCUUUCAUGAAAUGAGAUCACCUAAGGUUAUGCAUUGGGUCUGAUAUUGGUUGUUGAUAGUAGUGCUUAACUAAGGUUCAUAGUGAUGCUUGUUGUGAUUGCUUAAAUCUGCUUGCAUACAUGGAUUGAAACCGUUUUAAAGUUAUUGCAUACUGUCUUGUGGCUGUCUUACAUUGAAGCAUUAGAUUCAUGUCUAAAUUGCUGAGUAAAGAAGCUUUAAAAAUUGCCUAAGUAGCUUGUAUUGAAUCUGUUAAGAUCAUGCUUGUGCUUAGAGAGUUUGCUUGCAAAGAUUAGAACUUGAAAAUGACUUGUUUAAUCUGUUGCAAUGCUUGUGAUAUUGGGAAUCAAACUUGAUGAUUAAUCAAGGAUUGAUCCCAAUACUAUUGUGUCUUAUCUUUGCUGGAGUUUGAGUGAUGUUUCAGGUUCACAAGAAGUGUUCUUUGCUCACCAUCCAUCCGAGUAUAAGAGGAAGACUUGUUGCCCAUUGUGUGUGCAAUGGAGAGUGGUUACUAGUGUGAUAUGGCGCCACUGGUGUGAAGUCUCACUGAAGCUCACUUCAAGCUUGAACCUAGAUUAGGCCAAGCUUGAGGAGGGGAGUUGAGUGAGCUUCCUAGGCAAUCCAAGAAGUCCAUUGCAAGCACCUGAAGAAGGAGCCAUCCGGGUUUAGGCUGUGGCGAGUCUAUUCAAGAGAGUACUCAAACUAAGACAGAGUACUCUUGGCUGUGAGAAGAUUAAGGCUACUCUAUCAAGGCGGCUUCUAGUGUGAGGUGGUUGAAGAGAUAGCUGAGGCUUCCACAAGCAUUCCAUUCAAGAUGGCGAGUUCAAGAAGAGGCUGCAAUGGUGUGUGUGUGUUGAUCAUGAAGCCAUCCGUUCAAGCUUGUUCCUGUGAGAGUCUCAAGCUUGAGGGGGAGUGUUGAAGCUUACAUGAUCAGAAUGAGCUUGGUGGUUAUUCUAGAAGAGGAAGCAACCUGUUGGGAAGUAUGAUGAAGGAUGAAGAAGCAAUGUCCAAGGCGGCUUCAAGUGUUGAGGUGAUUGGAGAGUGGCUGAAACAUCCUCAUGUAGUUCCAGCAACAAGGUGGCGACUCUAGAAGAAGAAGAAGCAGCCAAGACUCAGCAAGAGUGUUGUAUCUCCAAGAAGAGGCUGAUAUGGUGUGUCCGAGCACUUCAACCUAACAAGAGAUUAGGUGAAAGGGGGAGAGACCAAGAUCAGGCAGUAAGGAGAGUACAAGGCGUGGGGAGAAUGAAGAGGCCAUGAUCCAGAGUCUUUGUGUCCCUUACAUUGUUGGUAAGGCACAAAGACUCACUGGCCAAUCCCUAGGCCAUGGAGACUUUACUCUUUUUCCCUCAUCAAGGUUUUGUCCCAAAGGGUUUUCCUUGGUGAGGUUUUUAAUGAGGAAGUUCUUCAAGGUUCCAAGCUUGACUUAGGAUCAGCUAAAGUCAAGCUUGAGGGGGAGUGUUGACUUGAAGAAAGAAAUGGAGACAAAGGAGGAGUUGGGUUGAGUUUGGGUCUUGAGCAAGAAUAGGGACAAGAUCUUAAGAGAUUGUCUAUCAAGGCUUCAUGAAGGUUUAGAGAAGUCUAGAAGUGUCAUGAAGGCUGUGCAAAGAUAGGGUUUGAGUCCAGGAGGGACUUAGACACCAUUUGGAGAUAGUUGGGUGAUGGUGCAAAGAUAGGGCGUCUCGAGGUUCAGACGGUACUGACGGUACGGACAAACCGUGCAAACUUAGGGCGACCCAGAACCUGAUCACACUCAACCAUUGGAGAUGUUUGGGUGAGAUGUGCAAACUUAGGGCGCGGUACGGACAGGCGGUCCGUACCAUCAACCGUACUUCACCCAGGAUCGACCAGAAGUUGUGCAAACUUAGGGCGUCGGUUUAGAGAGCGAUUAGGCGACCUUGUCUGAUUGUAAUCAGACUGUUUGUGGAUAAGGAAGAGAGAGGACGUGGUCAACAAGGACAGGCUGUCAAGAGGUGUAAAGGGAAAGCAAAGGGGACCAUGUAUCUAGCUAAAGAAGUGGGAAGGUUCAUGGGAGCCUUUGAGGAACCAAUCAGAAGCCAGCCCUUGCCUUGACCAGUUUGAAUGGACCAAUCACCAGCCAGCCUUCCUUAACCAAUCAGAAGCCAUCACCAAGAUUGCAAAGACCAAAACAAGACUACAUCCAAGCCAUCCAUUUCACAAGUCAUUUCUAGCCAUUAGAUUAAGGGUUUCUAAUGUUUCAAAGUGUAAAGCUUAUAAAAGCAUGUGUAUGGACGAAAAUUAAAGCUCUUAAGAGAGUAUGGGGGUUUUCCCAUCUCCUUCAUAAUUAUAAAAGUGUGUUCUUGAUCAGAUUCCCUUAAUCUCUCCCUUUCUUAGUCUCUAAUCUCUUAAUCUCUCAAAGUCUCUUUGUUUAUGAUCUAAGUUCAUACUAGUUUCAUCAGAUUCUUUCUUCACCAUUUCAAGACUCUAUUCUGCCCUAAGAGGCUUGUUCUUCACACACACAUCCUAGACUCUUAAAUCUCAUAUGG
rnacentral:lncRNA from 1 species